UCCGAGUUGUCCCCGGCAGUCCUCUUAGAGUCCCCGGCAUUACCCGCUGGCAACUAAGAGCAGGGGUUGCGCUCGUUGCGGCACUUAAGGCAACACCUCACGGCACGAGCUGACGACAGCCAUGCACCACCUGUGCAGGCUCCGAAGAGCACCCGCUUUCACGGGUUUCACCCUGCAUGUCAAGCCCAGGUAAGGUUCUUCGGGUUGCAUCGAAUUAAGCCGCAUGCUCCGCCGCUUGUGCGGGGACCCGUCAAUUCCUUUGAGUUUUAGCCUUGCGGCCGUACUCCCCAGGCGGGAUACUUAAUGCGUUAGCUUCGGCACGGCAGUCAUUGGUAAGACCGCCACACCUAGUUCGCACCGGUUACGGCCAGGACUAC
rnacentral:misc_RNA from 1 species